AUCCACCAACAGAUCAAAUUCUUUGACAUGCAAUCUCCUCCAAAAGCCUUUUCACAAGAAUAUAAUGGGGUCAAUCAUUUUUAAGCAAUCACUGGAUUUUCCUAAUUAGAACAUAGAUAUAUUUCCAAUAUUCAAAAGGGACAAAGUGGAUUUUCCUCAAAGAUCCCAACACAAAGUUCUCAAAGAAAUCAUUGGUUUCCCUUUCUCCCCAAACAGUAAGAAAAUCAAAAGCUAGGAAACAGUAAUAAAAGAGAUUUUGUCUUGUUUCUUCUUUUAACAAAAACAACAAGAUGUAAAAGCUAACAAGGCCUCAUGCACAAAACCCAACCAUCCUCAAAAACUACAAAAGAAAUGAAUAAAUGGCAGUUCAAAAAGUGGGUUUAUCUUGCUUGCAUGAAAGAAAAGUAAGAUUGUAUUUCUCAUAAAACCCCAAAACCAAGAAACUGAAAAUUCAGAGUCAGACGCCAAGAGGAAUAAUGAUCACACACUCUCUCUCUCACACACACAUAAAGCAAAACAGAAGAAAGACACAAUGCCCACUAGAUUUUAAAGCUCAAAACAUAAAUGGGGUGUUGUAAAUGAAGGACAAUCAUCUGAAGGAAACCCAAUAAAAGCAAGAAAGAGAGUGAUAAAAAGCCAAAAAAGAAGGGUUUAUGCAGAGUGGUAGAAGGAUAAAUUGAAUGGACCCCCUAUUAAAUAGAAAGAGAAGAAGAGCCACACAAGAGUGUUAUAUAUAUAUAUAAAGUAUUAUAUGAGUUUGAUUGUUAUUUUUGAUAUAUUAUUUUUAAACUUCAAAUGUUAUAUGUAUGAUUUAAAUAAAUUAUGUUUAAAAUACAUAUUACAAAUUUAAGUUCUUGUAAACAUCUAAAUGCUAGUGUGUGUGUGUAUAUAUAUAUAUAUAUAUAUAUAUAUAUAUAUAUGUGUGUGUGUGUGUGUAAAAGUGUAAACAGACUACAGAGAGAGACAAGGGCAUUACUGAUCUUUAAUGGUGCAGUGCCACUCAUUUCUGUUGCAGCCUUUAAAGAGGGCCCAUCGCUGCUAAUCUUUGAACACUGAUCUCCUUUGUCCUCCUUACUACCCUUCAUUAUCUGCCUAUUUACUGUAAUCAUGACGAGCAAAACAACAGUAUCUGGAUUCCCUACUCUGUUCAUGGCAGUAUCUGGAGGAGAAAAAAGUGGUUUACUUUUUAGCCAUUUUAAUCCAA
rnacentral:lncRNA from 1 species